AACGUAGGUUCCGAGCGUUAUCCGGAUUUACUGGGCGUAAAGCGCGUUCAGGCGGUUUGGCAAGUCGGGCAUGAAAUCUCUCGGCUCAACCGGGAGAGGUUGUCCGAUACUGCUGGACUUGAGGGCAGUAGAGGGUGGUGGAAUUCCGGGUGUAGUGGUGAAAUGCGUAGAUAUCCGGAGGAACACCAGUGGCGAAAGCGGCCACCUGGGACUGUACCUGACGCUGACACGCGAAAGCUAGGGGGAGCGAACGGGG
rnacentral:rRNA from 1 species